rnacentral:rRNA from 1 species
UACGUAGGGGGCUAGCGUUGUCCGGAAUCAUUGGGCGUAAAGAGCGUGUAGGCGGCCCGGUAAGUCCGCUGUAAAAGUCAAAGGCUCAACCUUUGAAUGUCAGUGGAUACUGCCGGACUAGAGUCCGGAAGAGGCGAGUGGAACUCCUGGUGUAGCGGUGGAAUGCGCAGAUAUCAGGAAGAACACCAACGGCGAAGGCAGCUCGCUGGGACGGUACUGACGCUGAGACGCGAAAGCGUGGGGAGCGAACAGG